rnacentral:rRNA from 1 species
UACGUAGGGGGCAAGCGUUUGUUCGGAAUUACUGGGCGUAAAGGGCGCGUAGGCGGCACAGCAAGUCGGGAGUGAAAGCCCGGGGCUCAACCCCGGAACUGCUUUCGAAACUGCUGAGCUAGAGUACAGAAGGGGCAACCGGAAUUCCCAGUGUAGCGGUGAAAUGCGUAGAUAUUGGGAAGAACACCUGAGGCGAAGGCGGGUUGCUGGGCUGAUACUGACGCUGAGGCGCGAAAGCCAGGGGAGCAAACGGG